ACAACAGGUGGAGCCUGCGGUUUAAUCGGACUCAACGCCGGGAAACUCACCAGAUAAGACAGCUGAAUGAUAGUCGGGCUGAAGACUCUACUUUGACUAGCUGAGAGGAGGUGCAUGGCCGUCGUCAGUUCGUACUGUGAAGCAUCCUGUUAAGUCAGGCAACGAGCGAGACCCACGCCCACAGUUGCCAGCGUACUCUCUGGAGUGACGGGUACACUGUGGGACCGCCGCUGCUAAAGCGGAGGAAGGAAUGGGCAACGGUAGGUCAGUAUGCCCCGAAUAUCCCGGGCUACACGCGAGCUACAAUGGUUGGUACAAUGGGUAUCUACCCCGAAAGGGGACGGGAAUCUCCUAAAACCAAUCUUAGUUCGGAUUGAGGGCUGCAACUCGCCCUCAUGAAGCUGGAAUCCGUAGUAAUCGCGUUUCAACAGAACGCGGUGAAUACGUCCCUGCUCCUU
rnacentral:rRNA from 1 species